UCUGGGAAAGCUACACGCAAGCUCUGAUUGGAGCAAUAAAGAGGUGUGACGGAGGUGUGUCCAUAACCAUGGUUACGAAAUUGAACUUUCCAAUAUGGCAGAAUACUGCAGGAGGGAAAAUAGUUACUCGUGUAUUUGCUUCGCCUGCAACUGAUGGUAAACAUAAAAUGCGGAUACAUUGCAAGAGCAUCACAUGGAUAAACAGCUCUAUCUCUGAAACGAAAUUUAUUGGCACCACAACGGCAAAGAGAAUUUAAGUAUAGAGACUUGAAAAAGGAGAACUGCACCUAUUGCAGCAAAGUUCAGAGACAGAAGAUGUCAUGGGGGACCCACUCCCUUUUUGUCUGGGAUACUUGAAAAGAAUGUAUUGGGAGUCUCUGUGCUCGUUUUGAAUUCAACAAUUUUAUAGUUUUUUUAAUUUGUUUUUAUUUUUUAGUUACUUGGAAAAACUAACAUCAUUGUAGAAUUGAUGAAUUAAAAGCAAAUUAUGGUCAAUGUGAAA